rnacentral:rRNA from 1 species
UUCGCCCUUAGAGUUUGAUCCUGGCUCAGAGCGAACGCUGGCGGCAGGCCUAACACAUGCAAGUCGAACGGACCCUUCGGGGUUAGUGGCGGACGGGUGAGUAACACGUGGGAACGUGCCUUUAGGUUCGGAAUAGCUCCUGGAAACGGGUGGUAAUGCCGAAUGUGCCCUUCGGGGGAAAGAUUUAUCGCCUUUAGAGCGGCCCGCGUCUGAUUAGCUAGUUGGUGAGGUAACGGCUCACCAAGGCGACGAUCAGUAGCUGGUCUGAGAGGAUGACCAGCCACACUGGGACUGAGACACGGCCCAGACUCCUACGGGAGGCAGCAGUGGGGAAUCUUGCGCAAUGGGCGAAAGCCUGACGCAGCCGUGCCGCGUGAAUGAUGAAGGUCUUAGGAUUGUAAAAUUCUUUCACCGGGGACGAUAAUGACGGUACCCGGAGAAGAAGCCCCGGCUAACUUCGUGCCAGCAGCCGCGGUAAUACGAAGGGGGCUAGCGUUGCUCGGAAUUACUGGGCGUAAAGGGCGCGUAGGCGGAUCGUUAAGUCAGAGGUGAAAUCCCAGGGCUCAACCCUGGAACUGCCUUUGAUACUGGCGAUCUUGAGUAUGAGAGGGGUAUGUGGAACUCCGAGUGUAGAGGUGAAAUUCGUAGAUAUUCGGAAGAACACCAGUGGCGAAGGCGACAUACUGGCUCAUUACUGACGCUGAGGCGCGAAAGCGUGGGGAGCAAACAGGAUUAGAUNCCCUGGUAGUCCACGCCGUAAACGAUGAUUUGCUAUUUGUCGGGCUGCAUGCAGUUCGG